rnacentral:misc_RNA from 1 species
GUGUUUCUGAUAUGAUUUUCUUGAUUCUGAACUUUAAUUGAUGACUUUAUUUAUUGAUAUUAGUUGAGUUUAAUUUGGUUCUUGUUUGAAUAUGCUAUUAGGGUUUUCUUUUUUGCGUUUUCGGGUCCAGUAGACCAGAUUUUUGUCAAUGAUGUUUAUGUUAGGUUGUGUUUGAUUACAGGUAGUGGCAUUUUGGUUAUUAGAUAUA